rnacentral:rRNA from 1 species
GGAUAACCGUGGUAAUUCUAGAGCUAAUACAUGCUAAAAAUCCCGACCUCCGGAAGGGAUGUAUUUAUUAGAUAAAAAACCAAUGCCUUCGGGCUCCUUGGUGAUUCAUGAUAACUUAACGAAUCGCAUGGCCUUGCGCCGGCGAUGGUUCAUUCAAAUUUCUGCCCUAUCAACUUUCGAUGGUAGGAUAGUGGCCUACCAUGGUUUCAACGGGUAACGGGGAAUUAGGGUUCGAUUCCGGAGAGGGAGCCUWAGAAACGGCUACCACAUCCAAGGAAGGCAGCAGGCGCGCAAAUUACCCAAUCCCGAUUCGGGGAGGUAGUAACAAUAAAUACUGAUACAGGGCUCUUUUGGGUCUUGUAAUUDGAAUUAGUACAAUUUAAAUCCCUUAACGAGGAACAAUUGGAGGGCAAGUCUDGUGCCAACAGCCGCGGUAAUUCCAGCUCCAAUAGCGUAUAUUAAAGUUGUUGCAGUUAAAAAGCUCGUAGUUGAACCUUGGGUUUGGCUGC